rnacentral:sRNA from 1 species
AGGGGACCCCGUGCUUCCUGGGCUCCUGGAGACCAAGGUGACCGAAGAACUCAGGGCCAAUCCUGAUGAAAUCCCGAGACCUCCUGAGCACAAUUACCCCCUUGGAGUUCCCCUCAACUUCUGCAUCCAGGGACACAACUAUGAAGGAAAUGUUUUUCUAAAUAGCGUGAUAAGCCUGGCAUGGUGAUGCGUGCCUGUGGUCCCAGCUACUUGGGAGGAUCACUUGAGACCAGGAAGUGGAGGCCACAGUGAGCCGUGACUGCACCACUGCACUCCAGCCUGGGAUAUUUGCUUAUUUCUAUGUUACUUUGUAUUUUUAAUAUUUUUCAGGCUACAUAACAUUUUACCAGUUUACAUACCUUAAUUUAUGUAGCUAGUCUACAAUUAUUUACUACCAGAUAGGUUUCACAUUUCCAUUGUUAAAAAUGGUGUUGCGUUGAACGAGAUAUCUCGGUGCAUAUGUUUCCCAGGCGCAGGCGUCUUGGGUAGAAGGAAUACUAGAACACUCUGCAGUGGUUUCCUGGCUUGCUUUGCUGUGUGGGCUUCUGUUUCUUGGCAUAUUGUCUUGUAUAGAGUGACACACACGAGCAAGGGAACGCUAGGGGUAUCACACAGAAUAUUCAUGAGCCCACCACCCCUUACAGGAUGUGGGGGGCCUGUGGUCAGGAACAUGUGUGCAAAGCAGCAGCUCCAGCUGGAUGUGGACACCACACUGGAACUGCUCAGGCCUCCACUGCUCAGGCCACUCUCCAGCCAGCUGGACUUUCCUCUCUUCUGGCUCUUCCUGCCCCUUCUUUCUCCUCCUUUCAAGGAGAAAAACUUCCUGUCUUAGGCCGAGCAACAUCCUUUUCUGCAGCCUUGGUGCUCUUCAGUAAAUUCUUCUUGAUAUUUUGUGCACAGUUUAAUAAAAUAAAAGCCAAGCCAGGCGUGGUGGCUCACGCCUGUAAUCCCAGCACUUGAGAGACCUAGGCAGGCAGACCACUUGAGGUCAGGAGUUGGAAACCAGCCUGGCCAACAUGGCAAAACCCUUUCUCUACUAAAAAUACAAAAAUUAGCUGGAUGUGAUGCCACGUGCCUGUAAUCUCAGCUACUUGGGAGGCUGAGGCACGAGAAUCUCUUGAACCCAGGAGGGGAGGUUUUAGUGAGCUGAGAUUGCACCACUGCACUCCAGCCUGGGUGACAGAACGAGACUCUGUCUCAAAAAAAUGUAAAAGCUAAAGUUUUGUGUGUGUGUGUGUGUGUGUGUGUGUGUGUUUUAAAGUAUUGCCACACAGGCAUAUGAGAGAGCUCUUGAAAUUGCAGCCUUCUGUGUCUCAGGCUAGAGAAGGGCAUGGCCUAGAGGAGCACAGUCCAGGGUGAGCCCAGAUUCUGCCCCUUGAUUUCUGCAGUGUUUUACCCAUUGUCUUUCUCUAGGCAGCCAACAUGCCUGACUCUGAGCUAUUCGAGCUCAUCUCUGAGAACCGUUCCAUGUCUCGGAAGCUGGAAGAUUAUGGAGAGCAGAAGUCUACAUCCAUCAGCACAGCAAAGCGCCUGGCCGAGUUCCUGGGAGACCAGAUGGUCAAGGAUGCAGGGCUGAGUUGCCGCUACAUCAUCUCCCGCAAGCCCGAGGGCUCCCCUGUCACGGAGAGGGCCAUCCCACUUGCCAUUUUCCAAGCAGAGCCCACGGUGAGGAAGCACUUUCUCCGGAAAUGGCUCAAGAGCUCUUCCCUUCAAGACUUUGAUAUUCGAGCAAUUCUGGAUUGGGACUACUACAUUGAGCGGCUGGGAAGCGCCAUCCAGAAGAUCAUCACCAUCCCUGCGGCCCUGCAGCAGGUAAAGAACCCAGUGCCACGUGUCAAACACCCCGACUGGCUGCACAAAAAACUGCUGGAGAAGAAUGAUGUCUACAAGCAGAAGAAGAUCAGUGAGCUCUUCACCCUGGAAGGCAGGAGACAGGUCACGACGGCUGAGGCCUCAGAAGACAGUCCGAGGCCAAGUGCUCCCGACAUGGAGGACUUCGGCCUCGUGAAGCUGCCUCACCCAGCAGCCCCUGUCACUGUGAAGAGGAAGCGAGUUCUUUGGGAGAGCCAGGAGGAGUCCCAGGACCUCACGCCGACUGUGCCCUGGCAGGAAAUCUUGGGGCAGCCUCCUGCCCUGGGAACCACCCAGGAGGAGUGGCUUGUCUGGCUCCGGUUCCACAAGAAGAAGUGGCAGCUGCAGGCCCGGCAGCGCCUCGCCCGCAGGAAGAGGCAGCGUCUGGAGUCGGCAGAGGGUGUGCUGAGGCCCGGGGCCAUCCGGGAUGGUCCUGCCACGGGGCUGGGGAGCUUCUUGCGAAGAACUGCCCGCAGCAUCCUGGACCUUCCG